UAUCACAGAACUCCUUCACUUUCAUGACCACACCCUAAUAAUUGUUUUUUUAAUGAGCUCAUUAGUACUUUACAUUAUCUCCCUGAUAUUAACAACUAAAACUCACACAAACACAAUGGUAUGAACUAUUUUACCUGCCAUUAUCUUAAUUUUAAUUGCUCUUUCAUCAUUAUGUAUAUUAUAUAUAAUAGAUGAAAUUAUAACCCCUCCCUUACCAUCGAAACUAUAGGACACCAAUGAUACUGCAGCUAUGAAUACACAGAUUAUGGAGACCUAAAGUUUGAUUCGUCCGUAAUUCCUACAACAGACUUAAAACCAGGAGAACUGUGGCUACUUGAAGUUGAUAAUCAAGUAAUCCUCCCCAUAGAAAUAUCAAUUCGCAUCAAUUGCAUCAGAAGAUGUUCUAUAUUCAUGAGCCGUGUAUCAUUAGGCCUAAAGCCAGAUGCAAUCCCAGGACUUUUAAACCAAGCAACGUUGACAUCUACAUGGCCAGGUCUUUACUACAAUCAAUCCCCAGAAAUCUGCAGAUCUAAUCACAGCUUCAUGCCCAUUGUUCUUGAACUGGUACCUCUAAAAUGCUUUGAAAAUUGAGCAACGUCUAUAUUAU
rnacentral:lncRNA from 1 species